CAGCAAGCAGGUCACAAAUAUAAGAGUUAUAAAGUUAAAGAAAUCCAAUAUUUUUCAAAAGGGUUCGUAUUCAACCCGGGUAGUAGUGAAAUGUAAAGGGGAAGACCUGCCAAUUGUGGCCUUUUUGCUGACUCUUGUUAGGUGACACCAGGCAACAGGUCUCCACACGCACUCGCAUGCGCCUGCACGCACACACACUGACGGAGAACUCAAUGCACGAGAGACAUCAGUCACUCAGGUUCACGAUCUCAUUUCAUCUUCAAAAUAACUCAGCAAGGUGUCUCUGCAGGAAACAAUGUGGACAAUCACAGUAGUUGGAAGGACAAUGACUGACCUAAUGGAGUUCAGGACGCUAUGACUGUUGGCACCUGAUGUGCACAGCUGCUCCCAUCUGCGCAGAGAGAAUAUAAAGGCAGUGGCGCUGAAACAUCUGCUGCUUUCACUCACCAUCAAGAUGGAACUGACUGUACAUGCAAGCAAAUUUUGAUGAAGAGAGUGAUCUCAGAGUGCGAAGAUAAGUUGUUUCUCCUUGACACCUAGGAAUGCACCUGGCCAAGACCCUCAGUUGAAAGACAAUAUCAAAUAAAUGCAAAAUCUAAAUAUCCAUGUGCUUGUUUACUUUUCCCCCUUAGAUAAUGGACUGUAGCCAUUGCAUAUUUAUUUAUUGGUUUACCUUUUAGUAGAGAUGAAGUCUCACUAUGCUGCCCAGGAUGGUCUCAAACUCCUGGGCUCAAGUGAUCCUCCCACCUCGGCCUCCCAAGUACUGGGAUUACUGGCACGGGCCACAGCACCCGGACUAGCCUCAUGGUAUAUUUAAAAGCAUCCCUAACCUCUACACGCUAGAUGCCAGUACACACUAGACACCACCUCCAGUGGUGUCAAUCAAAAAUGUCUCAGAGACUUAGACUCAGUAAUAUGUAUCCCUCUUUCCUCUAUCCUUCAGUCAUUCAAUCUCCACUUCUACCCCUGCCCUGGAGGCAACCAAUCUGUACC
rnacentral:lncRNA from 10 species